GCCCAUAUAGCUCAGGGGUAGAGCACUUCCUUGGUAAGGAAGAGGUCGCCGGUUCAAUUCCAGCUAUGGGCU
rnacentral:tRNA from 3 species